rnacentral:piRNA from 1 species
UGACACUCAAGAACUAAAGGACUCUCCUA